CAUUUGCUGGUGGCUGGCUAUGUGGCCAUGUGUUGUCCUGGAAUCCCAUGAUGGGCCAUAUGCCACAGAACGUGCUAAUGAGGGGCUGUGGCUGGAGCCAGAUAGAAGGUCUAAAGAGCAAGCAGGGCAACUACAUCAAGCCUAGCCUCGCCUGGGAAUGUGGACUUGGGGGCUCAGUCACCAAUUCGACCACUGGUAGGCUCGGCACAUUUGGUCAGGCUCCACACUGCACAACCCUGGGGGAGGGCACGGGACACAUACACACAGUGACCUCACAGGCACGAACAUUUCCUGUAACAACCUUCCAGGAGAUGGUAGUGUUUUUCCAACAAUAUCAAUGUUAUUAUAAUUUUCUGACACACAGAGGUAAAGUGUCCUGAGGACAGGUACCUAUUUCUAAUUCACAUGAAGCUGCCACAGAGCAGUCACCCUGGACACUGAGUUUGGCUGAGGUGGGCCACUUCAUGGUUUCUUGUAAGUUCCUGUUAGGAGAACCUCUAGCUCUGUAAUAAAUGCACUUCCCAAUAUGGCUAGGUAAACUUACUACCUACACUCCAGCCUCCAGACUCACACUUGGGAGUCUGAGCAAAAUGUCUACCCAGGCAAAGGGAGUUUGCACAGACAUAAAAAUGGCUGCAUGUGGCACUUCUGUCCUCACUGCAAAGCACACAAAGUGUCUGAUGUUCCAGCCCUGAGGCUCUGGUAGGGAAGAGAUAGGGAAAUAUUGCACUAUGGGUCCUCAGUGCGGAGGUCAUGCUUAAUCAAGCAGUUCUCUGAAGCACACGACAGGAUGAACGGCCCCAUUCCCACCCCAAGCCUUGAUUUCAGUGCCAUUAGAUCAAGGAAUGACAAGAGACAUCUGGAAGCAACGUAUCACCCACUAAAAACCCAGCACUUCAUGGAGUACACCUCUUUGUGAUGGGCUUCUCACCUCAAGCAUCCGGGACCGUCGGAUGGUAAUAUGAGUGACGUGGGGAGAGGCUGAGCUGGUCUCCACAAGCCCCAGUUUCUCCUUCUCCUUGGUGACCAUGUUUCGGAACAGGAGAACUCUCUGAAAUGAGCAAAGGAUCCGACUGUGAUGCUCUUACUUCCUGCCUGAACUCAUGCCUGACUAUCAAGGAAUCUUGACUGAGAGUGUGUCCACUGAGGAGAGCCACGGAAUCUUCCUCUGCAACUACGACAGCCACUAGUGGUGCUUGGGCCAAGAGGUGUGUGCUACUGUGAUUCCCAUCUACAGAUGAGAAAAGAGAGGUUUAGAGAGGCAAGGCCUCCCUGUCCAGGGUGCCUCAGGAAGUGGCCAACCCAGGAUUUGCCUCCCACUCCUCAGCUCUGGAUUCUUCCGGGAAAGGAAUGGAGCCCCACAGCAGUCAACCUACGUGAUGAGGUGCCGGGAGCAGUCACAGAACAGCAUCAGCAUGGCCAAGAGCUGCUUGGACUCUUCAGUGUCAUUGUUGAGGCAUUCCAAGAAGAGCUUUAACCCUCCAUGGGGCCCGAGCUCACAGAUAAACGCCCACAGUUUGGGGAGCAGGUCAUCAAGGUAAGUGAGACCUGGAAAAGGAUAGAGAAACCCAAGCUUCAGGUGGGGAUUCCAUCUGGUCCACGGUUUCUCCUACCCACUGGGGGGAACAAAAUGCUUAUACUUCUUUGUGGACAUUUAAUGUGUAUGAAAAGAAGGUGCAAUCACUAAGAAAAUCAUUAUGACCCCAAGAGUAAUGAUCACAGUAACUGCUAACAUUUCAUGAAUGCUUUCUAUGUUUCAGAUGUCGAUCUAAGUACUCUGCACGUGUUAUUUCCCAUCUUGUGAAACCUAAUGUUACCUCCAUUUUAUAAGAGGAAAAAAAUUAAAGUAAUUAGCCUCAAAUCACCCACCAAUAAGUAUCAGAGCUAAGAAGAGAACCCACGUCUGUUUGACUCACUGUUUAUAUUUUAAAUCAGGGAUCAACAAAUUUUUCCUGGAAAGAGAUAGAGCCUAAGUAUUUUUAGGCUGUGUGGGCCUGGCCCAGAAGGACCCUGUCACACUAUUGUAGUACAAAAGCAGCCAUAGACUACAUGUAUAUGAGUGGAUGGCACUGUAUUCCAAUAAAAACUUUAUUUACAAAACCAAAUGGUGGGCUGCAUUUGGCUCACAGGUUGUAGUUCGAUGAUCCCUGCUUUCAACCACCUUUCAGGCUCACCUACAUUUGGCAAAGCUUUCCUCUCCUCUACUUCUACUAUUCUAUCUCUGCUAAAAAUGGGAAAGCAAUGAAUGAUUGUAGCAGAGAUCCUGUGAAGUGUCACACAAACAUUUAAACUUGGAUGAAGCAGAAGACAUUUUAGGUCUGCUUUCUGAUGGCCACAAGGCCUCAGACACAUAAGCUACAUCACUGCUACAUUUUAAGUCUAUUAAUACAGCUAUUGAUUCAGAGAACCUGGCUCUGAAGUUCCAUGUGUCUCUGAACAUACAGCAAGGUGUGUGCCUCAAAUUAUUCUUCAUAUUUCACUUUAUAUUUGAGUCCUUAUAAUACCUCUCAUUUUACAGGGCACUUUAAAUUACUUAAUUUGAACAAAGAACUGCUUGCGGAAGAUAGAUUUGCCUGGAGCAGGGGCAGAAUGACAGACUCAAUCAAUACUGCUAGAAAUGCUUAGACUAGAGUGGCCCGAAGGGACUGUAGAAGAGGCAAAGAAACAGAGGCCCACUUAGUUAUUAUCCCUAAAGGUUUGAGCUCACAUUUUCAAGGUAGCAGAAUGUGGUUAGAGAAUGCAGAAACCAAAAAAGGAAAGAAGAAUGUGUAACUUUCACAAUUUAAAAAUAGCUUACAAGAGAAACAGAGUGAGUAGUUAAACUGUGGAGACCACAAAUAUACUCCCACAGGACAAUCAGGAAGAGCAACUACUCUCAUGUUAUGUGAAUAGUCCUCAUGGUGUGGACAAAAAUACCCAUUUCCAGCCUCAGACACGGAUUCAACCAGGGCUGCCUCUGGAGCAACUUGGAGAGAAAUGAAGAUGCGGCGCUCUGGAGAGCUAUGCCAGAGGGCAGCACGGGGCUCUGGGCCACCCAGUGCACGUGAGGAGCAUGAGCAAAGAAGCAUAUUAUCUUCUACUAUCUACUUUGCAUGUAGCUCAACAGACAGAACAUUCAACAAACACUUCAGGCUAGUUUAUCUCAUUCUUCAAAGGAACUAUUUUCAAGUUAGCCAAGAAAACUUCUUUCUGGGUUCUCUCACUGAGACAAGCAGGGGAUGCCUGAAUUUGUGGUCUCUUUAAAAAGCUUUAGCACCGACACAGGACCUCAAAAUCGUGUCACUUACAAUGCUUCUCAAACCUUCACACUGGGUGCUGGGGUGCCAGGCUUGAUCCAGGUCCCUCUUCAUCCUCUUUUGAGCUUUCCUAAUGGAGCCUACCCUGGGCCUAAGGCUUUACAUAACACUCCUCUCCUUGUUUCCCCACAGUAUACUCAUGUGCCUGCUUGGUACCUCACACUUGUCACACCCCAAAUAGAACUCUUCAUUCCCCACAAGCCCCAUCCCUCGCUGGUUGUCCCCAGCUCAGCAAAUGAUACCACCAUCCACAUAGGCUGCUUGGGCCAACAGUCUGGCCUCACCUUUGAAGCCUUUGGCCUUCACUCUUCCAAAUCCAAUGUAUCUAUUAGACCUGUAGACAUGACCUCUAAAACCUAUCCAAAGGCCCCUGCCUCCAACCCUGUUGUCACACCAGUCCCAUGCUGUUCAAUCAGGGACCAUGCUGCCCCCUAGGCAGCAUCUGGCAGUGCCUGGAGACAUGAAGGGUUGGCAUAGCUGGAGAGGAAGAAGUACUACUGGUAUCUAUGGGAAGGGGCCAGGGGCUGCUAAACAUCCUACAACAGACAAGACGGCUUCCACAAAAGGAACUAUAGGGCCUGAGAUGUUAGCAGUGCUGAGGCUGGGGAAGCCCGCUCCAGUCCAAGCCCAUACUGUCUCAUUUCCUCUGCGGUCACAGCACCCAUUAGGACAGUAAAUACUUUUCUCCCUUGCCUACUGCUUGUCUCCUCACUCUUAGAAUCCUCUUAGGAAAGGGACCCUUGGCUAUCUUAGUCACCUUUUCACCCUCAGUGCCUGGCACACAGAUGUUCUACUAAUGCCUGAAGAUGAAUAAAGUAAGUGUGAAAGAGAGAAAGAAGCAAUGGUAAUUCAGGAUAAAAAAAAAAUGUAAACGUGAUGUGACAGGCACUCGGUGUCAUAGUAUA